ACGGGGUGCAGCAGGCGCGAAAACUGACCAAUGCGCGAAAGCGUGAGUCGGUCAAUCCGAGUGUAGACCCAUCGGUUUACUUUUGUCAUGUGUACAACGCUUGGCGAAUAAUGUGAGGGCAAGACUGGUGCCAGCCGCCGCGGUAAAACCAGCUCAUAGAGUGGUGAUCAUGAUUAUUUGGCUUAAAGUGUGCGUAGCAGGGAAUUCUAAGUCCUCUGUGAAAUGUCAGGUCUUAAGCUUGACACGUGCAGAGGAUACUGGAAUCCUUGGGACUGGGAUAGGUGUAAUGCACGGUUUGGGUAGGGGUGAAAUCCGAUAAUCCAAGCCGGACAACCGGUGGCGAAGGCGUUACACUGGAACAGGUCCGACUGUGAGGCACGAAAGCUAGGGUCGCGAGCCGGAUUAGAUACCCGGGUAGUCCUAUGCUGUAAACGAUGCUCACUAAGUGUUAGGUAAUGCAAGACAUUCUCUAGUGCCGAAGCGAA
rnacentral:rRNA from 1 species